rnacentral:rRNA from 1 species
AGUCGAGCGCUAGAGAGGUGCUUGCACCUCUUGAGAGCGGCGGACGGGUGAGUAAUACCUAGGAAUCUGCCUGGUAGUGGGGGAUAACGUUCGGAAACGGACGCUAAUACCGCAUACGUCCUACGGGAGAAAGCAGGGGACCUUCGGGCCUUGCGCUAUCAGAUGAGCCUAGGUCGGAUUAGCUAGUUGGUGAGGUAAUGGCUCACCAAGGCUACGAUCCGUAACUGGUCUGAGAGGAUGAUCAGUCACACUGGAACUGAGACACGGUCCAGACUCCUACGGGAGGCAGCAGUGGGGAAUAUUGGACAAUGGGCGAAAGCCUGAUCCAGCCAUGCCGCGUGUGUGAAGAAGGUCUUCGGAUUGUAAAGCACUUUAAGUUGGGAGGAAGGGCAUUAACCUAAUACGUUAGUGCUUUGACGUUACCGACAGAAUAAGCACCGGCUAACUCUGUGCCAGCAGCCGCGGUAAUACAGAGGGUGCAAGCGUUAAUCGGAAUUACUGGGCGUAAAGCGCGCGUAGGUGGUUUGUUAAGUUGAAUGUGAAAUCCCCGGGCUCAACCUGGGAACUGCAUCCAAAACUGGCAAGCUAGAGUAUGGUAGA